AAGAAUGUUCAGGUUGCUCUUAGGGCUAAAUGGUCUGGUACCCCUAUACUCUUGGAAGCCGGGGAGUUGCUAUCAAAGGAAUCUAAGGACCAUUUUUGGGAUUUUAUUGAGUUAUGGCUUCACUCUGCAGAUGAAAAUUCUGACUGCCGUAGUGCCAAAGAUUGCUUGAAGAGAAUAAUAAAGUAUGGGAGGUCUCUAUUAA
rnacentral:misc_RNA from 1 species